UGCAAUGGCAUAAAUACCUUACAGGCACCAAAUCCCUCUAACCUUGGAAGCUAAGCAGGGUUGGCUAUGGUUAGUAUUUGGAUGGAAGACUGUCAAUGAAUACUAGGUUAUAUUUCAG
rnacentral:rRNA from 11 species